CUUCCGUAGGUGAACCUGCGGAAGGAUCAUUA
rnacentral:rRNA from 116 species